rnacentral:rRNA from 1 species
CCUACGGGGAGCAGCAGUCGAGAAUCAUUCACAAUGGGGGAAACCCUGAUGGUGCGACGCCGCGUGGGGGAAUGAAGGUCUUCGGAUUGUAAACCCCUGUCAUGUGGGAGCAAAUUAAAAAGAUAGUACCACAAGAGGAAGAGACGGCUAACUCUGUGCCAGCAGCCGCGGUAAUACAGAGGUCUCAAGCGUUGUUCGGAAUCACUGGGGGUAAAGCGUGCGUAGGCUGUUUCGUAAGUCGUGUGUGAAAGGCGCGGGCUCAACCCGCGGACGGCACAUGAUACUGCGAGACUAGAGUAAGGGAGGGGGAACCGGAAUUCUCGGUGUAGCAGUGAAAUGCGUAGAUAUCGAGAGGAACACUCGUGGCGAAGGCGGGUUCCUGGACAUUAACUGACGCUGAGGCACGAAGGCCAGGGGAGCGAAAGGGAUUAGAUACCCGAGUAGUC